GCCAGGCUUGGUGGUGUGUGCCUGUAGUCUCAGCUACUCGCGAGGCUGAGGUGGGAGGAUCGCUUGAGCCCAGGAGUUCUGGGCUGUAGUGCGCCAUGCCGAUCGGGUGUCCGCAUUAACUUCGGCAUCAAUAUGGUGACCUCCCAGGAGCGGGGGACCACCAGGUUGCCUAAGGAGGGGUGAACUGGCCCAGGUCGGAAACGGAGCAGGUCAAAACUCCCGUGCUGAUCAGUAGUGGGAUCGUGCCUGUGAAUAGCCACUGCACUCCAGCCUGGGCAACAUAGCGAGACCCCUUCUCU
rnacentral:SRP_RNA from 1 species